rnacentral:snRNA from 1 species
AGCCGUGCGAUGAGCGCAAAGCGAACUAUUCUUUCGCCUUUUACUAAAGAAUACCGUGUGCUCGUCGCAAACCAGCGGCAUACGCCUAUUUUUGGAGGGGUCUCUCCUACUGGGAGU